UACGGGGGGGGGCAAGCGUUUGUUCGGAAUUACUGGGCGUAAAGGGCUCGUAGGUGGCCAACUAAGUCAGACGUGAAAUCCCUGGGCUUAACCCAGGAACUGCCCCCAAGACUGAAAGGCUCGAGUCCGAGAGAGGUGAGUGGAAUUUCCAGUGUAGAGGUGAAAUUCGUAGAGAUCGGAAGGAACAUCUGUGGCGAAGGCGACUAUCUGGGCCAACACUGACACUGAGGCACGAAAGCGUGGGGAGCAAACAGG
rnacentral:rRNA from 1 species